rnacentral:ncRNA from 2 species
GCUCUGAGGGCUGGGCCUAGGG